AGUUGGUACUGAAAGAACUCCAAAGGGAGACCCUCACUCAAGUCUCGGGAUAAUAGUGGACCCCCAAGAACUCACAAGAGACC
rnacentral:pre_miRNA from 7 species